GACGAGGGGUCCAAGCGUUGUUCGGAAUCAUUGGGCGUAAAGCGGGUGUAGGCGGCUCUAUAAGUCAGGAGUGAAAGCCCCGAGCUUAACUUGGGAAGUGCUUUUGAUACUGCAGAGCUUGAAUGUGGGAGAGGUUAGUGGAAUUCCAGGUGUAGUGGUGAAAUACGUAGGAUAUCUGGAGGAACACCGGUGGCGAAGGCGGCUAACUGG
rnacentral:rRNA from 1 species